GUGCAAUAUUAACAGCCGACGAUGAUAGUGCAUUCUAUCGUAGUUAUUAAGUUAACUUGACGAUUAUUGUUUACAAAUCCCCUGAAGAUGCAAUUUAUACAAUUGCGAAAUAUCGGAGAUCAAAAAUGAAAUAAAAUAAAAAACUGGCCUAAAGCUCAAAAAAACUCAUAUUAUUAAAUACAUUGGAAAAUAGGUCGAAAAAACUCACACUUAUAAUAUUUUUCUAAG